rnacentral:snRNA from 1 species
GUGCUCGCUUUGGCAGCACAUAUACUAAAAUUGGAACAAUACAGAAAGAGUAGCAUGGCCCCUGCGCAAGGAUGACAAGCAAAUUCGUGAAGCAUUCCAGAUCAAAUUUUU